rnacentral:lncRNA from 10 species
CUCCUGAGUAGCUGGGACUACAGGUGCGUGCCACCAUGCUGAUAAUUUUUUGUAUUUUAGUAGAGACAGGGUUUCACCAUGUUGGCCAGGAUGGUCUCGAUCUCCUGACCUUGUGAUCCACCUGUGUCAGCCUCCCAAAGUUCUAGUAUUACUGAGACACUGUGUCCAGCCGGCAUCUUUUAUUUGAUUGCCUUUCCUGGUUUACCUUGCAACAAGGCAAGAGAAGGCAUACUCAGAGAUUUGGUGUUCACAUCCCUUCCACUCUCAAGCUCUCAUAACAUGAUGUCUCUGAAGCAGUCUGACUGAGCAAAAAUUGGAUGGAUGAGUUUGGAGAUGUGAGAUCUUGUUAAUUCUUUUUCAUUAACUCAACUAAUCAUUUUGAGAAAAUAUUUAAUUUAUCUGCUUAUCUUCAAACAGCCUGGUGGAACUCAAUCAGAUUUUCUUAAUGUUCCUUGGUUGAUGAAUACAUUUUCAAAAAUAAAAUUUAAGAAAUAAAAUGUAAGAUGAUAAAAGCAAAGCCCUAAGUUAAUAACAGAUACUGGUGGAGUGAGAGGUCUGCUAAAGUUCCAGACACUGAGACCCACCCUCUCCUGCUUGUGUUCUCUGAGGCACUUCCACAGAAUGACAAGUUCUCCAUAAAGAGUCAUUGGGAAGCUCCUAGACAAAACAAUGUCUCACGUCUAUGCUAGGUCUAAAGUCACUUGAAUUUUUGUUUCUCUUAAAUUAUGUACUAGAGCCCAAUUCAUUAAAAAUAAAAUAAAAAUUAUCAGUAUUAUUUAUUUUCAUUUCAGCCACCAACACAGCACAAUGAAACACAUUGCUGGCUGGGUUUCAGCCAUGGCUAUGCCAUUCAAAAAUUGCUGGGACUUUGGUUAAGUCACUUAUGCUUUGUGUUUUCAUCUGUAAAAUGAGUAUCUCAGGUUAGAAUACCUCUAAGAUCGCUUACAGAUUCCUCAUUCCAGAAUCCAACCUUUUCUAAGCAAUCCUUCCCCAUCUAUUAGCAGUUCAUUUAGAAAUCCUUUUAUGAAAGGACAAUUUUUCAGUAUAGAUUACAUUGUAAUGAUUAGGUGGGAAGUGUGUGCCCUAAUAGCCGGAAUGAAGUUAAGUGUAUUUUUGUAAAUAUGCAAACUCCUCAUUUGUCUUUAUGAGGUCCCAUUUGUCUUUUGGCAUUUUGAUGAGUAAACCAAUGCCAAACCAAUUUAGAGCAAGUAAAAUAUGUUAUCAUGAGAUAUUUGUUUUGUCAAUUGUACUCACAAAGUCCCUCUCUCUCUCUCUCUCUCUCUUCCUCUCUUUCUUUUAGUCUGUUCUUUCUGAAUAAUUACCAGACAGCUGCAAGUCAGGGAUAACAGAGAUUCCACAUCCAAUAACAUGGUCCUUCCUGCCUUUAUGAGCUAUUACACGCACCGUGAAGGGCUGCAACUUCACUCCUGAGGCCAGAGAGACCAAGAACCCACCAGGAGGAAUGAACAACUCCAGAGGGGAGGAACAAACAACUAUAGACGUGCCGCCUUAAGAGCUGUAACACUCACUGUGAAGGUCUGCAGCUUCACUCCUGAAGCCAGUGAGACCACAAACCCACCAGAAGGAAGAAACUCUGAACAUGUCCGAACAUCAGAAGGAACAAACUCUGGACACAUCAAGAACUAUAACACUCACCGCGAGGGUCCGCGGCUUCAUUCUUGAAGUUAGUGAGACCAAGAACCCACCCAUUCUGGACACAGAGGGACCAAUGCUUGCUGAGAUUAAACAACUUGCUCCAAGUCUAUUCACAUUACACAUUAGGAUGUUGUAGAUUUGAACUCCAGCAGAGCUCCUUCUGACUCCAGAAUCUGUAUGUGUUCUACUGAAUUCUGCCAGAUUUGUGAGCAGAUGUGGAAAGGAGCCUGUGCUUCCUUUUAUCUGGCACUGGUGAUUAAGCUUGUCAUAUGAUCACAUAGGGGGCACUAAGAAAUGCACUCUUAAGGCCAGGUGCUGUGGCUCAUGCCUAUAAUCCCAGCACUUUCAGAGCCCAAGGUGGGCAGAUCACUGGAGCCCAGGAGUUCAAGACUAGCUUGGCCAACAUGGUGAAACCCCGUCUCUACUAAACAUACUAAAAAUACAGAAAUUAGCCAAGCGUGGUGAUGCACACCUGUGGUCUCAGCUACUCAAGAGGCUGAGGCGGGAAGAUCACUAGAACCCAGGAGGUGGAGGUUGCAGUGAGCCGAGGUCGUGCCACUGCACUCCAGGUUGGCUGGUAGAGCAAGACUCUGUCUCAAAAAGAAAAAAAAAAAAGGAAGAAAAGAAUAAAAGAAAUACAGGCCUAAGUAUACCUCUGGUUUAAUCAGUGUACAUAAUCUGAAGUACAGGUUUGUGUCCAGUUGAUUUAUCAACACCUUUCCUUGUCUCUGGAAAUACCCUGGUACAAAGAAGAACAUAAGCUAAGAUUCUUGGAAAGAAAGGAACUUCACAUUAACCACCAAUCUAAACGAGAAUUUCACCAAGUGUUUUGAAAUUAAAAAGCCUUAGGGAACGGAGCUUAUGAAGUUCUGAGUUCAAGCAGAUCUAAGUUCCAGCUUUAGUUCCACCAUCUGGGUCAUUUUGGGCAGGUACUUUAAAUUCUCUGAGUUCUAAUCCACUCGUGUGAAAAAUAGGCUAUUAAUAUAUAACUCAUCAGGUUUUGAAAAUCAAGUAAUACUUGAGCAAAUUGCCUAUCUUCAAUACCUUUGAAUACCAGUAUAAUUACAUUAUUCACUCCAGAAUAAAUAGCAACUUGUGAUCAUGAAGCAUUUACACAUCUCCAUGACAAUUUCCUUAACUAUUACUCUGUUUGAUGUCAGCCUUAUAUUGCACUUUAACGCAGUGUAUAUUAUUAGCCUUUUGAUUGAUGAGGAAAUAAAGACCUGAAUACAUUUUGAUUUGCUUACUUUUUUCAUUUAGCUGACAAUUCAGCCAGUGUCCCAGCUUUGUGCAUUAUUUUCUACCCACAUCAAAAUAGAAAAGUCAGGUUAAAAUGCAUUUUAUAAGUUUUAAGUAACCAGUUGAAUGGUUUACAUACUUCUCCAAGCAGAAGAUUGGCCAAUAUUACACUUUCCAUGAUCUACAGAUAUAAUAUGGGGACCAGUUACAUGCGGCAACGCAUCUAUUAUGAAGGAUAAUGAACACUGAAAGGAGAUACACAUUUUAAUGACACUUAAAAUGAGGAAAUUACUGCCCUCUCUCAAUAAAAAGAAACACAUUUGCCCCCUUCCACCAGGCAGUGAAUGGCUCAAGUUAGUUGUAUUCAAAAACGAUGGGGAAGGGAGAAAUAAUGUAAUUUAAAGUCUGAAGUGACUAUACCCAUAACCUUAUAUGAACUCUUAAAAUGUCUGCAUAAGGUUCCAACAGGAGAAAAACUUUGCCUGUGAUAGUGUAAGCCAUGACUAGAUCUAUGCACUUUUAAUUUUCAAAACUUGAUGAAAUGCUAGUUUACAAGAGUGACUAAUUUAAAGUUUCUUUCUUUC